rnacentral:rRNA from 1 species
AGGUCACUGCUAUCAGGGUUCGACUAAGCCAUGCAAGUCAAAUGUUCUUCGUGAACAUGGCGAACUGCUCAGUAACACGUGGACAACCUACCCUUAGGACUGGAAUAACCCCGGGAAACUGGCGAUAAUACCGAAUAAACCAUAGAUGCUGGAAUGCUUUAUGGUUCAAAGGCUCCGGCUGCCUAAGGAUAGAUCUGCGGCCUAUCAGGUAGUAGCGGGUGUAACGUACCUACUAGCCGACGACGGAUACGGGCUGUGAGAGCAAGAGCCCGGAGAUGGAUUCUGAGACACGAAUCCAGGCCCUACGGGGCGCAGCAGGCGCGAAAACUUUACAAUGCGGGAAACCGCGAUAAGGGAACACCGAGUGCCAGCAUAUUAUGUUGGCUGUCCACAUGGAUAAAAACCAUGUGUUAGCAAGGGCCGGGCAAGACCGGUGCCAGCCGCCGCGGUAACACCGGCGGCCCGAGUGGUGAUCACUUUUAUUGGGUCUAAAGGGUCCGUAGCCGGUUUGAUCAGUCCUCUGGGAAAUCUGACAGCUCAACUGUUAGGCUUCCAGGGGAUACUGUCAGACUUGGGACCGGGAGAGGUAAGAGGUACUACAGGGGUAGGAGUGAAAUCUUGUAAUCCCUGUGGGACCACCAGUGGCGAGGGCGUCUUACCAGAACGGGUCCGACGGUGAGGGACGAAAGCUAGGGGCACGAACCGGAUUAGAUACCCGGGUAGUCCUAGCCGUAAACGAUGUUCGCUAGGUGUCAGGGACGGUGCGACCGUUUCUGGUGCCGCAGGGAAGCCGUGAAGCGAACCACCUGGGAAGUACGGCCGCAAGGCUGAAACUUAAAGGAAUUGGCGGG